rnacentral:rRNA from 1 species
AUUGAACGCUGGCGGCAUGCUUUACACAUGCAAGUCGGACGGCAGCACAGAGGAGCUUGCUUCUUGGGUGGCGAGUGGCGCACGGGUGAGUAACGCAUCGGAACGUACCGAGUAAUGGGGGAUAACUGUCCGAAAGGACAGCUAAUACCGCAUACGCCCUGAGGGGGAAAGCGGGGGAUCUUAGGACCUCGCGUUAUUCGAGCGGCCGAUGUCUGAUUAGCUGGUUGGCGGGGUAAAGGCCCACCAAGGCGACGAUCAGUAGCGGGUCUGAGAGGAUGAUCCGCCACACUGGGACUGAGACACGGCCCAGACUCCUACGGGAGGCAGCAGUGGGGAAUUUUGGACAAUGGGCGCAAGCCUGAUCCAGCCAUGCCGCGUGUCUGAAGAAGGCCUUCGGGUUGUAAAGGACUUUUGUCAGGGAAGAAAAGGGGCAUGUUAAUACCGUGCUCUGAUGACGGUACCUGAAGAAUAAGCACCGGCUAACUACGUG